rnacentral:misc_RNA from 1 species
GAUGAAGAACGUAGCGAAAUGCGAUACGUAAUGUGAAUUGCAGAAUUCAGUGAAUCAUCGAGUCUUUGAACGCACAUUGCGCCCCCUGGUAUUCCGGGGGGCAUGCCUGUCCGAGCGUCAUUGCUGCCCUCAAGCACGGCUUGUGUGUUGGGCCUCCGUCCUCCUCCCGGGGGACGGGCCCGAAAGGCAGCGGCGGCACCGCGUCCGGUCCUCGAGCGUAUGGGGCUUCGUCACCCGCUCUGUAGGCCCGGCCGGCGCUUGCCGAUCAACCAAACUUUUUUCCAGGUUGACCUCGGAUCAGGUAGGGAUACCCGCUGAACUUAAGCAUAUCAAUAAGCGGAGGA